CGCAAAGCGUUAAAACUUGUUCAAUUUUGCAGCGCAACGGCGUUACUUUAGCAUUUCGUCAAAACAAAGUUGCACUUUAAUGUGGUCAAACGUUCGCAAGAGAGGUCCGAAUUAGUUUAUUUAAAAUGAACUUUAAAGUUUCAGGGUCAAAUUUGCGACGCAGUCUGCUGCUCUUCCUGUGCUUGUGUGAUGUUUCUUUUGUGCGCUUCUUGUAACUGCGAAUUUUCACGCAUGUACAUCUUUGAUCUUUGGUGCACAGAAGAGAGCAAAAAUGCCGAUAAAACUCGAAGAGUAAUUACUUUGGUAGAAGAGAGCAUUAAGAACAAGGGAUACGCAGUUGACAUGAUAACACUUAAGAGCUGCAUUAGUUACAUUUGCAAAAAAAUUAUUGCCUUUUGGACUAAAUACA